rnacentral:lncRNA from 1 species
AAAUUUUUAUUAAAAAAUUAAAACAGUAACCAUAAUACACCAGAUUGAUAUAUUUUGAACCAUAAGGCAAUAAUUAAUUAUUUGUUAUGCCUUCCCUGUAUUGAAAAUUGAUAUUUUUGUUAAAUCCUAAUGGUUGUUUGAUUCACCUAUUUUAGACUAUAGAAUUAAAAUAGGAUUCAUUGAUUCCAUUAGUUGUUGUUUAUUUUACACGGAUCGAAUUUUUAUUCUUAUUCCACUCUAGAAUGAAAAUAACCCAACCCAUAUAUAGCACAAUUCAGUCUUAAAUUCCGAAUUGGCUUAUUCUAAAGUAACCUAUACUCAAACCCCCCUCUCACAAUGAGGAAGUCGAUUAUGUUGCAUUUAUAGCACAUCAUCUAUAUCCAAUAAAUCACAUUUUUCUUUUCGAGAGCAAAGUACAAUAAAAAUAUUUUAUUUAAAAAAUUAUGAUAGGACGAAUGAAACACGGGGUCAA